GAAAUGCGAUAAGUAAUGUGAAUUGCAGAAUUCAGUGAAUCAUCGAAUCUUUGAACGCACCUUGCGCUCCUUGGUAUUCCUUGGAGCAUGCCUGUUUGAGUAUCAUGAAAUCUUCAAAGUAAAUCUUUUGUUAACUCAAUUGGUUUCUACUUUGGUAUUGGAGGUCUUUGCAGCUUCACACCUGCUCCUCUUUGUUCAUUAGCUGGAUCUCAGUGUUAUGCUUGGUUUCACUCGGCGUGAUAAGUUAUCUAUCGCUGAGGACACUGUAAAAGGUGGCCAAGGUAAAUGCAGAUGAACCGCUUCUAAUAGUCCAUUGACUUGGACAAUACUUUUAUGAUCUGAUCUCAAAUCAGGUAGGACUACCCGCUGAACUUAAGC
rnacentral:misc_RNA from 1 species